UUGCCCUACGGGAGGCAGCAGUGAGGAAUAUCGGUCAAUGGGCGCGGGCCUGAACUAGCCAAGUCGCGUGAGGGAAGACGGUCCUAUGGAUUGUAAACCUCUUUUGUCGGGGAGCAAAAGACGCCACGCGUGGCGUUCCGAGAGUACCCGAAGAAAAAGCAUCGGCUAACUCCGUGCCAGCAGCCGCGGUAAUACGGAGGAUGCGAGCGUUAUCCGGAUUUAUUGGGUUUAAAGGGUGCGCAGGCGGAAGAUCAAGUCAGCGAUAAAAUUGAGAGGCUCAACCUCUUCGAGCCGUUGAAACUGGU
rnacentral:rRNA from 1 species